rnacentral:lncRNA from 1 species
ACUUCUAAAGUUGGCGGUGUUUCGUACCGGCCGCGGGAUUUCGCGGACUGGGGCGCUGAGGUUCUUUGAGCGGCGUGUGGACCUGAAUUCCCUGGAAACAGGCUGGGGCCGCGAGGGGCCUCCGCUCCGGGCGGGGUCCCCAGAUAGCCCCGCCUCGAAUAAAAAUGACGAGCACGGGUCCUCUCUCGGGCCCGCAGUGGGUGGACUGCGUCGCAGACCCGUAGUGGAGGCGCCCAGCUCGCCGGGGAGAUUCGAGUGGAAACCCUCACGGCCGCCGGUGGUGGGCCCCGGCGCGGCGCUGGGCUCCGGCGGGUCUGCGCUGGGGAGGGCCAGGGCCCCUGAAGCCGGCGUCCCUCUUAGGGGACGCGCCUGGGUGUGUCUUCACCGUUUGCCUGUCUGGCCCUGUCGCCCAGGCUGGAGUGCCAUGGCGCGAUCUCGGUUCACUGCAGCCUCCACCUCCCGAGCACAGGCGAUCCUCCCGCCUCAGCCUCCAGAGCACCUGGGACCACAGGUGUCCACGCGCAGCCACUAACCGCUUUCUUAUCUGACACUUUAAGUGCUUCUUCGUACCCAGCUCCUCUAACGCCUUUUGAAGCAGCUCCAUCAUCUUUGAAGGGCAGUUCAUGCUGUUGAGAAUCAUGUUUUUAACUUUGGGAAAAUUGUAUUUCCACGAGCGCCAGCUCUGUCCUUUUUUUUUUUUUUUUUUUUUUUUUUUUUUGACGGAGUCUUGCUCGGUUCGCCCAGGCUGGAGUGCAGUGUCGCGAUCUCAGCUCACUGCAAGUUCUGUCGCCCAGGUUCACGCCAUUCUCCUGCCUCAGCCUCCCAAAUAGCUGGGACUACAGACACGCGCCACCACGCCCAGCUAAUUUUCUGUAUUUUUAGUAUAGACCGGGUUUCACCAUGUUGGCCAGGAUGGUCUUGAUCUCUUGACCUCAUGAUCCGCCCACCUCGGCUUCCCAAAGUGCUAGGAUUACAGGCGUGAGCCACCGCGCCCCGCUAUUUUGUGUGUGUGUGUGUGUGUGUGUGUGUGUGUGUGUGACAGAGUCUCGCUCUGUUCCCCAGGCUGGAGUGCAGUGGCGCAAUCUUGGCUCACUGCAACCUCUGCCUCCCGGUUCAAGCGACUCCCCUUCCUCACCCUCCUGAGUAGCUAGGAUUACAGGCAUGCACCACCACGCCCGGCUAAUUUUUGUAUUUUUAGUAGAGAUGGGGUUUCCCCGUGUUGGUCAGGCUGGUCUUGAACUCCUGACCUCAUGAUCUGCCCGCUUCAGCCUCCUAAAAUGCUGGGAUUACAGGCAUGAGCCCGGUCCUGUCCUUUCUUAUGGUCACAAAUCUGGCUUGCAUCGCUGGGCACAUCUUUAAUCCACAGCUUCUUUCUAGGAGUGCUUGAAAAGCUCUCCUUUUAUGAAGGUUAAUUUUAGUUAAAACCAGA